rnacentral:lncRNA from 1 species
UGGAAGAGAAGACUGUACAAUCGAGUGACGAUGAGACACACUGCCGACGGUUCUACGCUACCCUCUCUCUCUAUAUAUAUACUACGUCGGACGUACUAAAUCCGUAUCUAUACAUACAUGGGACAAGCAUCAGUAACGCAAGAAACGGGAAGAAACUACCGAGGUUUAUCUCUGCUAAAAAAAAAAAAACUACCGAGGUUUAUACAGUCAUACAUGCAUGCAUACAUACGUACGUACGGGCUGCAGGAACGUACUAGUACGGACGGAUGGAUCAUCAGCCACUAGCUCGCCUCGCCUUUGGUCUUGGGGAUGGUGAACCAGCGGCCCUGGGAGCCCUGUGCUUGGCCGCCUUGCCGUCGUUGGCGUCCUUCUUCCCGGCGCGGAAGCAGGCGCAGAAGCCGCAUGCGGCGACGCGCGGCGACGGCGGGUCGAGCGCGGGCGAGACGCGGCCGGCGG